AGUGAACGCUGGCGGUAGGCCUAACACAUGCAAGUCGAACGGCAGCACAGUAAGAGCUUGCUCCUACGGGUGGCGAGUGGCGGACGGGUGAGGAAUACAUCGGAAUCUACUUUUUCGUGGGGGAUAACGUAGGGAAACUUACGCUAAUACCGCAUACGACCUACGGGUGAAAGCAGGGGAUCUUCGGACCUUGCGCGAUUGAAUGAGCCGAUGUCGGAUUAGCUAGUUGGCGGGGUAAAGGCCCACCAAGGCGACGAUCCGUAGCUGGUCUGAGAGGAUGAUCAGCCACACUGGAACUGAGACACGGUCCAGACUCCUACGGGAGGCAGCAGUGGGGAAUAUUGGACAAUGGGCGCAAGCCUGAUCCAGCCAUACCGCGUGGGUGAAGAGGGCCUUCGGGUUGUAAAGCCCUUUUGUUGGGAAAGAAAAGCAGCAGGUUAAUACCGCGCUGUUCUGACGGUACCCAAAGAAUAAGCACCGGCUAACUUCGUG
rnacentral:rRNA from 1 species